UUGUGUAUAAGGGAUGUAUUGUGUGUUUCUGGUUGUGUGUAAGGGAUGCAUUGUGUGAAUCUGUGUGUAAUGAUAAAGUUUUGGAGUCCAGUAGCCAGAUCAGCAAUGUUUUCUGCCAGAGGUAGCCACUCGUUACCCAGGUGGUUGAGCUCCUUCUGGUUUUGAGCAGAGAUGGGAGACUGGAACAGAAAGAUGAUAAUCGUAGUGAGGCAAGCCGAGGUCAG